AUUGCUAGGGGUGCACGUCGCUGAGAUUGAAGGGAAACCUUCUAGACCCUCAUUACUUGAACCGGAUAAUACCGGCGGAAGGAAGCAGA
rnacentral:ncRNA from 1 species